UUCACAAACAAGGAAAUUGACCAGCUUCAAUUCUGGAAAUGUAUUUUGAAUAGAUACCCAUUUUUUAAAAUAAAAUGCACACGGUCAACUUUGCUGAAUACAACAUAGAUUCUGAAACUUUUUUAAAAUGCAAUUUGAGGAAACCGUACCUAUGUCAGAAUAUAUAAGACCAACUACAAGAGUAGGAAAGCAAAUGUGGGACUUUCCAUGACUAAAAUCGUCAUUAAAUCAGUGAAAUUAUUUCAUGAUUAAAGAAAAAACGCCUUUAACACAAGCAGAGACAGUCAUUAUGAAAGUAAAAAAAAAUAUACAUGAUUUACAUUACUUGCAAUCACAUGGUAUGUUACAUGACAAAGAUAACAAUAGGACAAACAAGCAGGAGCAUUUAUACAGCAUUUUAACACAAAAUGUUUGUAAAUUUACAAAAUGACAAACAGACUGACUAUCAUAUGCUUAGCAAUACAUACAAUACAUCAAUAUAUAUAUCUGCAAUGAAUACAUAACCAUUUUUUCACUAACAGUAACUAUACACUGAUAAAAUUAAAUAAUGUUGUUGGUUUAAAACAGUUAAACAUUCAAAAAGAAAUGAUAUAUGUGUUCACUAAUGAGCUUAAAGAUUGACAAUCAUCCCAAUUUCUGACAAAACUAAUGUUUUUAAUCAUUUCUUUGCUAUCUAAUUUAAUCUCUAAACCAAUCAGUUCCUGUGUACUGCAAGUUUCCCACACUAAAUCAUACACAGGUUUUGCACAAUAUCUCAACUUUUUUGAAAGUCUCUUCUAAAUUUAUUCUCUCUAUCACUGAGCAGCACCAAACCAGAUUAUAAUUACUACUCUGAUGUUUAUAGUCAUUUCCACACUAUUCAUCAAUCAUACACAUGUUUGGUACAAUAUUUCAACUUUUACUUUCAUAGUCUUUAUCUAUAUAAAAUUCUCUCUAUCACAGAGCAGCACCAAACCAGAUUAUAUUUACUAAGCAAUAUAGGAAAGGUGUACUGACAUAAGUGGUUUCUAAACACAGAUUAUAAUUACUACUCUGAUAUCACAACUAACUUAAUAUGAACAUUUCAUGUUUAACCAAGUGUGACUAUUUACUUAAAAGAAAGACUAAUUUAUAUAUCAUAUGAAUUAACAAGUUUCUUUUUUAUUUAUCAGGCAUUAUUCAUAAUU
rnacentral:lncRNA from 1 species